CCUACGGGUGGCAGCAGUGAGGAAUAUUGGUCAAUGGCCGAGAGGCUGAACCAGCCAAGUCGCAUGAGGGAAGACGGCCCUACGGGUUGUAAACCUCUUUUGUCUGGGAGCAAAGCGAGUCACGGGUGACUCUUUGAGAGUACCCGAAGAAACAGCAUCGGCUAAAUCCGUGCCAGCAGCCGCGGUAAUAAGGAGGAUGCGAGCGUUAUACGGAUUUAUUGGGUUUAAAGGGUGCGCAGGCGGCUGUGCAAGUCAGCGGUCAACGUGCGGGGCUCAACCCCGUACUGCCGUUGAAACUGCAUCCCUUGAGUGCGCGAGAAGGAUGCGGAAUGCGUGGUGUAUCGGUGAAAUGCAUAUAUAUCACGCAGAACUCCGAUUGCGAAGGCAGCAUACCGGCGCGCAACUGACGCUCAUGCACGAAAGCGUGGGUAUCGAACAGGAUUAGAUACCCUUGUAGUC
rnacentral:rRNA from 1 species